AUUGAAGCUUCAUCAAAUCUAUCUGGGCGUUCAUUGCGUAAUACAGUGUUGAGAUUGAGAACAUUUUCAGAGGGGAACUUAAGAACUAGGAGGGUGCAGAUAAGUAAGAGUUGUUGGCAGCAGCAACCUACACAUGUGGAAACAGUGGCUAUGGCGGUUCAAAGGGAAGUUGUGGCUGCUAGA